AGGGUUGUAGUUAAUUAUAACAUUUGGGUUGCAUUCAAAAAAUAUUGACUUGAUCAAUCAACCUUA
rnacentral:tRNA from 4 species